rnacentral:rRNA from 1 species
CAAUGCCGCGUGCAGGAUGAAGGCCUUCGGGUUGUAAACUGCUUUUGUACGGAACGAAACGGUCCUUUCUAAUACAAGGGGCUAAUGACGGUACCGUAAGAAUAAGCACCGGCUAACUACGUGCCAGCAGCCGCGGUAAUACGUAGGGUGCGAGCGUUAAUCGGAAUUANUGGGCGUAAAGCGUGCGCAGGCGGUUAUAUGAGACAGAUGUGAAAUCCCCGGGCUCAACCUGGGACCUGCAUUUGUGACUGUAUAGCUAGAGUACGGUAGAGGGGGAUGGAAUUCCGCGUGUAGCAGUGAAAUGCGUAGAUAUGCGGAGGAACACCGAUGGCGAAGGCAAUCCCCUGGACCUGUACUGACGCUCAUGCACCAAAGCGUGGGGAGCAAACAGGAUUAAAUACCCUGGUAGUCCAGGGCCUAAACUAUG